rnacentral:rRNA from 1 species
AGUGAACGCUGGCGGUAGGCCUAACACAUGCAAGUCGAACGGCAGCACAGUAAGAGCUUGCUCUUACGGGUGGCGAGUGGCGGACGGGUGAGGAAUACAUCGGAAUCUACUUUUUCGUGGGGGUUAACGUAGGGAAACUUACUCUAAUACCGCAUACGACCUACGGGGGAAAGCAGUGGAUCUUCUGACCUUGCGCGAAUGAAUGAGCCGAUGUCGGAUUAGCUAGUUGGCGCGGUAGAGGCCCACCAAGGCGACGAUCCGUAGCUCGUCUGAGAGGAUGGUCAGCCACACUGGGACUGUGACACGGUCCAUAGUCCUACGGGAGGCAGCCGUGGGGAAUCUUGGACAAGGGGCGGAAGACUGAUCCAGCCAUGCCGCGUGGGUGAAGAAGGCCUUCGGGUUGUAAAGCCCUGUUUUUGGGUAAGAAAAGCCGCAGGUUUAUACCGCGCUGUUAUGACGGUAACCAAAGAAUAAGCAACGGCUAACUUCGUG